AUUGAACGCUGGCGGCAGGCCUAACACAUGCAAGUCGAGCGAGCGGCGGACGGGUGAGUAAUGUAUGGGGACUGCCCGAUAGAGGGGGAUAACUACUGGAAACGGUGGCUAAUACCGCAUACUAUCGGAUAACCCAUAUGGGAUUAGCUAGUAGGUGGGGUAAAGGCUCACCUAGGCGACGAUCUCUAGCUGGUCUGAGCGGAUGAUCAGUCACACUGGGACGUGCACACGGCCCAGACCCCACCGGAGGCAGCAGUGGGUAAUAUUGCACAAUGGGCGCAAGCUUGUUGCAGCCAGGCCCCGUGUAUGAAGAGGGCCUUAGGGUUGUAAAGUACUGUCAGCGGGGAGGCGUUACCCGCAGAAGAAGCACCGGCUAACUCCGUGCCAGCAGCCGCGGUAAUUC
rnacentral:rRNA from 1 species